UACAGAGACUGCAAGCGUUAUUCGGAUUCACUGGGCGUAAAGGGUGCGCAGGCGGCCAAGUGUGUUAGGCGUGAAAGCCCGGGGCUUAACCCCGGAACUUGCACCUAAAACUAACAUGGCUAGAGCAUUGGAGAGGGUAGCGGAAUUCACGGUGUAGCGGUGAAAUGCGCAGAUAUCAGGAAGAACACCCGUGGCUAAGGCGGCUCUCUAGUACGGUACUGACGCUGAGACGCGAAAGCGUGGGGAGCGAACAGG
rnacentral:rRNA from 1 species